AACGAACGCUGGCGGCAGGCUUAACACAUGCAAGUCGAACGCGUGUAGCAAUACACGAGUGGCGCACGGGUGAGUAACGCGUGGAUAUCUGCCUUUUGGUUCGGAAUAACCCCGGGAAACUGGGGCUAAUACCGGAUGGUUCCUUCGGGAUAAAGAUUUAUCGCCAAAAGAUGAGUCCGCGUACGAUUAGCUAGUUGGUGAGGUAAUGGCUCACCAAGGCGACGAUCGUUAGCUGGUCUGAGAGGACGAUCAGCCACACUGGGACUGAGACACGGCCCAGACGCCUACGGGAGGCAGCAGUGGGGAAUAUUGGACAAUGGGGGCAACCCUGAUCCAGCCAUGCCGCGUGAGUGAUGAAGGCCUUCGGGUUGUAAGGCUCUUUUGGCGGGGACGAUGAUGACGGUACCCGCAGAAUAAGCCCCGGCUAACUUCGUGCCAGCCGCCGCGGUAACAC
rnacentral:rRNA from 1 species